CCCCUAGAUGUUCUGGGCCGCACGCGCGCUACACUGAACAGUUCAACAAGUCUUAACCUUGGCCGAUAGGUCUGGGUAAUCUUUGAACGCUGUUCGUGAUUGGGAUAGACCUUUGCAAUUAUGGGUCUUCAACGAGGAAUUCCUAGUAAACGCAAGUCAUCAGCUUGCAUUGAUUACGUCCCUGCCCUUUGUACACACCGCCCGUCGCACCUACCGAUUGAAUGGUCCGGUGAAAUCUCGGGACGGCGGCUUGGUCGCUUGCGUCCGACUGCUGAAACUUGAUUAAACCAUAUCAUUUAGAGGAAGGUGAAGUCGUNACA
rnacentral:rRNA from 1 species